rnacentral:rRNA from 1 species
UACGUAGGGUGCGAGCGUUGUCCGGAAUUACUAGGCGUAAAGAGCUCGUAGGUGGUUUGUCGCGUUGUCCGUGAAAACUCACAGCUCAACUGUGGGCGUGCGGGCGAUACGGGCAGACUGGAGUACUGCAGGGGAGACUGGAAUUCCUGGUGUAGCGGUGGAAUGCGCAGAUAUCAGGAGGAACACCGGUGGCGAAGGCGGGUCUCUGGGCAGUAACUGACGCUGAGGAGCGAAAGCGUGGGGAGCGAACAGG